rnacentral:snoRNA from 1 species
CCACGUGAUGAACAUCUGAUAGGGACAGCUUAUACCGAUGGUAUAUGAUGCCAACCUGGAUCACAGUAUUUUAGUAGAUGCUCUGUUUUCUGAUA